rnacentral:rRNA from 1 species
GUGGGGAAUAUUGGGCAAUGGGCGCAAGCCUGACCCAGCAACGCCGCGUGAAGGAAGAAGGCUUUCGAGUUGUAAACUUCUUUUCUCGGGGACGAACAAAUGACGGUACCCGAGGAAUAAGCCACGGCUAACUACGUGCCAGCAGCCGCGGUAAUACGUAGGUGGCAAGCGUUAUCCGGAUUUAUUGGGUGUAAAGGGCGUGUAGGCGGGAAAGCAAGUCAGAUGUGAAAACUCAGGGCUCAACCCUGAGCCUGCAUUUGAAACUGUUUUUCUUGAGUGCUGGAGAGGCAAUCGGAAUUCCGUGUGUAGCGGUGAAAUGCGUAGAUAUACGGAGGAACACCAGUGGCGAAGGCGGAUUGCUGGACAGUAACUGACGCUGAGGCGCGAAAGCGUGGGGAGCAAACAGG